rnacentral:rRNA from 1 species
AUGCAAGAUGGUCACCCGUUGGCCUUCUUCAGUAAAGCUCUUGGACCACGCAAGCAAGGCCUUUCGGUAUAUGAGAAGGAAUUCAUGGCAGUGUUAAUGGCGGUGGAUCAUUGGCGUCCAUAUUUACAGUCAGGAGAGUUCAUUAUCCGUACUGAUCAAUGCAGCUUCGCCCAUCUUGAUGAUCAAAGACUGACAACUCCCUGGCAGCGGCGUGCUCUCACCAAACUCCUUGGACUUCAAUACAAGAUUGUCUAUAAGAAAGGCGUGGAGAACCGAGCGGCAGAUGCCUUAUCUCACCGACAUGGAGCACUGUUAGCGAUCUCUAUGGCUCUGCCCACUUGGCUAAAUGAGAUCACAAAGGGGUACCAAUCUGACCCCCAUGCGUGUAAACUGUUGCAUAAAUACACGGGGGCAACAUAUCUUACGGCUUCGUAUACUGUGCAUGAUGGAGUGAUCAAAUACAAAGGACGUGUGUGGCUUGGUUCCAACAAAACAACUCAAGAUCUCAUACUGCGGCAAAUGCAUUCUAGUCCGUCAGGGGGGAAUUCUGGUAUCCAUGUGACUUAUGAUCGGCUAAAGAGGCUUUUUUCUUGGCCUGGCAUGAAGAUGGACGUAACCAAUUUUGUAUCCAGUUGUGAUGUUUGCAAACAAGCAAAACCAGAGCAUGUGCGUACCCCUGGGCUGCUGGAGCCUUUGGAAGUUCCACCACACCCAUGGCACACUAUCACCUUAGAUUUUGUGGAAGGGCUGCCAAUCUCGAAGGGCUAUUCCUGCAUUUUAGUGGUUGUAGACAAGCUGACGAGGUAUGCUCAUUUUGUGCCCUUGGCCCACCCCUUCUCAGCUGUUUAG